ACGGUGACACAGGGGCGGAUGACUUGGUAGAAUUGGAUCAACAGCUUUUAUUCUCUUUGACCGUGUGUUAAAGGAAAAACACAAACAGACUGCAUCAAAGCUAUUCCAUGUCUUUUUAUUGUGUAUCAAUUCCCUAGUUAGUGAUGCCUACACCAGCACUGUGCAUUCAAACAUUCUAGCUGUGGUAGUUGCAGACCCAGCUGCCAGACACAUGUGCACCUUUUUAAUAUUAAUGUUUAAGGAAUGGUCUUCGGCUGAAGAAAUAACAGAGUAGGUUACUCUCUCUCUGACUUAAAGAUGUAAUGAGAUGUCGACGGUAACAACCUGUUUGACCACUUUUAAAACUUGGUAUGACCACAAUGUUGCUUCUUUGAUACCCUCCAAAAGAUUUUUUUGUAAAAUUACCUGUGUUUGCGUUGUUCGAGAGGGGUUGUAUUUCUAUCUGCGUAUCGAUGUAUCUUUCUCUUCAUUAUAACAGUGAACUUCAUUUAAAGUGCAGAUGAUAGCAUGUUAAAAGUGAAGCUGACGUUUUCUUCCUUUCAUAUUCAUUUAUCCAUUUUGAAAGAGUUACUGAGCUUUUAGAUGAAAUCGGGUGUGCAGCUCAGCUCUCUACACAACCCGAUGCCAGAAUUCAGUCAUGGCACAGGAGAACGACUGUACUGACGCACCUUUUUUGAUGUUGAAAAAAGACACAAUGCUUUCAUUGCAUUGUAUUCAAAUCUCUCAACUUCCCCACCUCCCACCUGCAUAACAAGCAGAACAAGUUGUUCAAGAUAUGUCACAGGUUUUUAAAGAAGAAAAUCCUAGCAUUUUCCACACAACCCUCAGACACUGUGAAGCCUUCACUUCCGUAUUCACAUAUUCACGUCUCCGAGGAGUCCGCCACCUUCUUUGUGUCGGCUCAUACCAUUGCUUGAAGAAUUGUUGCACAGUUGGCCUCCACCAUGGGAUCAGAAAAAAGAAUGAUGGGACCUCUAAUAAUUAUUCUACUGCUGGCAGAUGGAGUGAUGUCAGCAGAAAAUACAACUGCUGCACUUAAUGCUACAGUGACCGCAACUGCGGUCAACAUGACCUCACCAGGCGUUAACAUGACCACAAUGUCCACCAUGUCACCAUCAGAUGUACCUAUACCUGUCAAUGUAACAGACGCCCCAACUGGGUCAACUAAUGCCACAGCAGCCCCUACAGCAUUCAACAUGACCUCACCAGCAGUCAACAUGACCUCACCAGCAGUCAACAUGACCACAAUGUCCACAAGGUCACCUUCAGAAAAUACCACCUCUCCACUAGUGAAUGGAACAUCACCAAACAUCACAACUGGUUCUCUAGCGACAACCACAGCUGCUCCAGCACCAGACUCAGCGAUACAGCUGAGAUUUAGCCUGAUCGAAACUUUUCAACCAGAACUUGCCGAUACAACUACUCAAAAGUUCAAAGAUUUAGCAAACAGAGUAACAGCCGCACUUGAUAACAUCUAUAGAUCCAGAUUUGGGAAAGGAUUCCUUCGAUCUUUGAUACGCGCUUUCAGAAAAGGUUCAGUGGUGGUAGAGUCUGAGCUGAUUUUUGCCAAUGCCACCUCAGUGCCUGAAGUUAGUGCUGUGCAAACCUCUCUGGCGGAGGCAGCGUCCAAUAGCUCUAACUUCUCGCUGCCAGUGAAUGUGUCAACCAUUGUUGCAACUGUACCUACAUCUGUCAAUAUAACAGCGGCCCCAACUGGUGUCACCAAUGCCACAGCGGCCCCAACUGCAGCUCCUGUUGCUACAGAGGCCCCUGCAUCCACUGAUCCCCCAACAUCCAGUGAGGGAACCCUUCGCCUUCUGUUCAGUCUCAACCGAACAUUCACAUCCGACCUGUCAAACCGAUCCUCAGCAGCGUUUAAGACGUUGGCUGCUGAAGUCAUCCAAGAGAUUAACCGAGUGGCCAGGAUUAUCUAUGCAUCGUCUUUCAGACGCACCCUCAUUAACAAUUUCACGAGUGGAUCAGUAAAGGUUGACACCACACUUGUGUUCCAAGAUAAGAGCUCAGUUCCUCAAGCAAGCACUGCGACUGCACAAUUCAUCAGUUUGCUCUCCAAUUCUUCCCUCGGCAUCGUACCCGGCAGCAUUUCUGCACAGUCCACAUCAACUUCAGGCAGCCCCCCCCCAUGGCCACAAUGGGCUCACUGGCAGUCUUUUCACUUACACUGCUGGCUGUAGCACAGAUGCUAGUCACCCUGUAACAGACACUGAAG
ensembl:lncRNA